GAUUUCCGUUGAUCGCCGCCGGUUUGAAAUUGAAACCACAGAACUGGUUUUAGAAGAAUGUGCAGGAGAUCAAGAGCAGGAUUCGAGGUGACGACGUUGGAUAUCUUCUUGAAGACAACUGUAAUGAACGAGAUGGCAUCGAACCAGUCCGAAGAACAGUUCUUUGACUUGGAUACUUUGCUACAAAGGCACCACAUGAUGAAGAUGUACAAGGCGCUGUAAUUGCCCCAAACAUUGAACUCAAAAACAAGUUGAGGAAGGACAGGUGUUUUACAUUUCCCUUGAAACGUAUUUUCCAAUGGGUGGCAAAUAAUUACACGUUUUCAUUACUGCAAUACUGAAAUUCACUUUGUAAAUUCGCAACGAAAAAUUGGAAAUAUAUGCCUCAAGAAUGUGUUACUCCAACUGCAACUGCAGCUGACAAUAGGUAUUUCACAUCCCAACCAUUAAAUGACCUUGUUUCAUUAAACUGCUCGCAAAAUCGUUACAAUUUAACUUUUCGUUAACAAGUUGAAGCAUAUGUAGGUAAUAAUUAUCGUGGAAAAUAAUAUCUACCUACCUUCAACUCCUUAAUGAACCAUAAUAUUUCAGUUGAAGUAUGACGACAUUCGUUAACAAGUGUUUACUCAAGAGGAUGAAAUUCAUUUAGUCCAAAGUGAUGCUAUGUUUGAAAAAAAAAAACACGUGUCUUAUGUGAGUCAAAGUAUACGCAAAACUAAUGAGCAGUUUGCACUUGAAUUUUAUUGAAAUCGUUAAAAUCCAAAGUCUUGUGUUUGUAUUUUACAAAUUCUGAAACUAAAAUAAUGAAGGGAAAUCCCAUCUUUUAGAACCUGGAUGAGAAAAAGCACUUCGGUAGCGGGGAAGAGUGUAUGGAGGAAAUUUCUGACGUGGUGGUGAUGGUGGUAGUGAUGGCGGCGGCGGUGGCGGUCGAAAACGACCAUUUUCAUCAAAGCUUUGUUUAAAAACGUUUUGAAAUAGUUGGAGACUCUUGAGAAAAUCUGGAUCAUUGUUAGGUCCAGGUGACUGAUUUGUGUUUUUAUCUGCUGGAGAUGGGGUCCCGAAUUUGGACAUAGAGAAGGAUGAGGAAAGAAGCUGCCGCAUAUAGUAAGGCAUAUCCUCAGCAGAGUUUUCUUGAUUUUUAGCUGAUGGGCUUGAUUUGUUGUUUUCAUCCUGUAAUUAUGAAUGAGAAUUUGAAAGAAUUUGAACUAUAUGUUACAUACUCUUUGACAGGCUUGUGCUUGAAAGCAUUCGAGUGUUACAAUUAAAAAUUAUUCACGUACUUUAUGCUUUUCCUUAUACUUUUUAUAUUCUUUAGUAAGCUCAUAAUCUUCUUGCUACAUGAAAAUAAGAUAAUUAUGUCACCAGAUAAUGAGUGUAUGCACAUUUCAUCUUCUGAUGUGAUUUUAUGAGCUCAUUUUUCUCUUACCAAUCCCUCCGUGACUACUUGUUUGAGGAGUGCUUUAUCAGCGGUAUACGUAAAGCUGUUUUUCUUUCUUUGUCAACUAAAUAUGGGGAAAUAAUAAUGUAGGUACUUAAUUUAAUGAAAAUACUUACAUUAUAUUCAUCAAGUUCACAUAAUGAUCGACAAAGUUGAUAAAAUGAUAAAAUAAUAAUGAUUUUUAGAAAGGCUGGUCAAAAGAACUAGUCUAUUAGGCACAUUACCAAAUAAUAUAUGGUUUCUCCAAUUUUGUAUUUUCCUUGUAGUGUCAUGUAAUUGAUAAGAUUGUUAUACUUUAGCUGGAAGUUUACAAACGUUGAUUCAUCAUUAAACUAUUACUGUAAGUAGGUACUGAUUCCCUUAAGUGGUCAGCAGCACUUACUAUAAACCGUAAAUUUUCAAUAACACUAUACAUCUCGGGUUUCUGUUCUGCUAGUGGUUUUGGCCCUUUCGAUUGGUCUUCAUCUUCCUGAAUGAAGUUACAAUGUUUAUUUAAAUUGAAUGUUGGAAAGGAUGGAUGGAUACGUAUGUACUUAAUCAUUUUUAUCAAUAAUUAGGUAGGUAUCUAAUUAUUUACUGGUGGUUCACUUACAGUUCUUCGACUUGGAGGCACUGCUAAAAAAUGGGUACUAUCACAUGGUGGAGAUGUACAAGGCGGAGGUGCUGUAAUUGGCCCAAAAAUUGAACACACAAACGAGGAAAGUUUGAUUGCAAACAAGAAAAACCAACAGUUCUGAGCGAAGCGAGGGCUGAAGUUUUCGAAAAUGUACCUAUUAUUAUUCAAGUAUAGGUAGUAGGUACGUAGUAAAUGAUUAUUUUCUUGCAAGAAAUUAAUUUCUCAAAUACAUUCACAUUUUUAAAAGUUAAUAGGUACCUCUACCUACCUCUACCUACAACAAAUAUUUUUCAGGUGCAGUAAUUCAGAAACAGAACAAUAAUUGUAGGUAUUCAGUCCGAGCGAAGCAAAGGGAAACAAUUUCAAAAAUGACGAUGCUCGAAUUUGGAGACAAUUUUCUUCAUCACGAACAUAUGUUCAACGAAUACAAAUCAGUGAAGUAAAUAAUGUGAUUUUAUUUAAAUAGUUCAAGUUUAUUUACCAAUAUUUUGAAAAACAAUUCCUAAUUAUGACACAAUUAACUUGAUUUUUUGUAAGAAUUGAAGAACCAAUUUCGACUUUAUAUCCUACAUACUUCCAUGUAAAGCUUAACUUCCAAGAUUUGACUACUCCUCCAGGAAUUUAAAAGUUGGUUUAGAUAGGAACGUGUAACAAUAACCUCAGAAUCGUAAUUUCAAUCGUUUAUCAGUACUUAGCGAAGAAGCCUCUGUUUCCAGAAGAAAAUUAUGAUUUAAUUCAAGUAGUUUUUGGGGGAUUUUAAUCCAACCACCACAUACAAGAUUCAAUUGAUUUUCUGGCUGUUUUCUUGUUAAGAAAGAUAUUAGGCAGACUUUUCUUUUCAUGUCACACAAUGUGACACAUAAUGCAAACAUUAAAUACUUAAUGCAAAAGAAAUAUUUCCAAAACAAUGAAAAAAAUCAUCAUAAAAUAUAAUUAAUAUGGAAGAACAUGAUGAAAACUCGAACAUGGCACAAAAAUACCAUAAAAACAAUCAAUACUUAAUCCAAAAGAAAUACUUCCAAAACUAUUUUAAAAAAUCAUAAAAUAUAAAUAAUAUGCAAGAACACGAUGAAAACUCGAACAUGAUACAAUAAUACCAUAAAAAAAUAUAUAUAUAUAAUCAAUAAAAUUAUCCAAAAUCACAGUCUCCUGAAUGACACCUAUGUAAUAGACACGUUUGUAAUCGCAAGUCA